UCAGGACGAACGCUGGCGGCGUGCUUAACACAUGCAAGUCGAGCGGAAAGGCCCUUCGGGGUACUCGAGCGGCGAACGGGUGAGUAACACGUGAGCAACCUGCCCCAAGCUUUGGGAUAACCCUCGGAAACGGGGGCUAAUACCGAAUAUUACUGCUGGUCGCAUGGCUGGUGGUGGAAAGUUUUUCGGCUUGGGAUGGGCUCGCGGCCUAUCAGCUUGUUGGUGGGGUGAUGGCCUACCAAGGCGACGACGGGUAGCCGGCCUGAGAGGGCGACCGGCCACACUGGGACUGAGACACGGCCCAGACUCCUACGGGAGGCAGCAGUGGGGAAUAUUGCACAAUGGGCGGAAGCCUGAUGCAGCGACGCCGCGUGAGGGAUGACGGCCUUCGGGUUGUAAACCUCUUUCAGCAGGGACGAAGCGAGAGUGACGGUACCUGCAGAAGAAGCACCGGCCAACUACGUGCCAGCAGCCGCGGUAAGACGUAGGGUGCGAGCGUUGUCCGGAUUUAUUGGGCGUAAAGAGCUCGUAGGCGGCUUGUCGCGUCGACCGUGAAAACUUGGGGCUCAACCCCAAGCCUGCGGUCGAUACGGGCAGGCUAGAGUUCGGUAGGGGAGACUGGAAUUCCUGGUGUAGCGGUGAAAUGCGCAGAUAUCAGGAGGAACACCGGUGGCGAAGGCGGGUCUCUGGGCCGAUACUGAC
rnacentral:rRNA from 1 species